UGCGUUGUCCAGCCUGAAGAUCGCAAAGUUUGAAGCCACCAGCCUGCUUUCAUUUUUCUCUCUUGCAACCCAUCCCCAGCGUCAACUUCGAUUCCCCCUCCACGCUGCCACUUGGCUGCGUCUGCACCUUGGCCGGUCAACAAAACAGCGCCCCUCCACCAGCGUUGAUUUCGCUGACUGCCCAGCAUCCACCGAACUCCAUCUAGCUGCCCCUGCUCCGCCGAAUUGCCAGCAGCACCGCUCGAAGAAGUCCACGCCUCCACCGAGUUCUUCAACCGCUGCCACGUCCGAGCUUCUCCAAGCUCGGUCAACCAAAGAAACGUUUCCCCAGCCGUGUUGACUCUCGCUGCCGCUGCCACCCACGUCCGAAGCUGCUUCUCUUCCUCGACGCAAUUCGCUGCAGUGAAGUUCGGCCCAGCAGUGGGCCAUUAGAAGCCCACGAAGAUUUGCAGCAGUCAAGCCCGAGCCCAUCAGUCCAGCAAGUCCAUGAGCCCAGCAAGCAGCCCAUAGUUCAGCAUCUUCAAGCCCAGCUCUCCACAAGCCCAGUUCGCAGCAGCCCAAGCCCAGUGUUCAGCCCAUCUUGAAGCCCAUCUUCAGCAGGCCCAACCCAACUUGGGUCCAGUUGGGCUGAGAUUUGUUGGGCCCAUUUUAGGCCUGACCCGAGAGUUCGUCGUCGCUGCCGAAAUUUUGGAAUUCGGCCGUCGUCACAGUGUCCCGGUCUUCACUUUGCGCAAACCCGUAGAUGAGCCUGAGGAGGAGGAACCAGAAGAUGACGAUGAGCCAGAAAAGGAUGAAGAGCUUGAAGGAAACAAGCUUAGUGAAGAAGAGUCAGAAGAGGAUUAGGAUGAUCUUGAGUACGACCUGGAUGAAAACUGAGAUGAAUCUUGUUUUGAUGUGAUUAGAGUGAAAUUAUAAAGUCGUGAAUAGUUUGUGAAAUACUUUGAGAUAUGCUCUGUAUAAAAGUAUGGUUGUGAAUUUCAAUAUGAAAAAUAUGGUAUUGAUUUUCUAUCC